rnacentral:rRNA from 1 species
GACGAACGCUGGCGGCAUGCUUUACACAUGCAAGUCGAACGGUAACAGGUUAAGCUGACGAGUGGCGAACGGGUGAGUAAUGCAUCGGAACAUGCCCGAUCGUGGGGGAUAACGCAGCGAAAGCUGCGCUAAUACCGCAUACGAUCUGAGGAUGAAAGCGGGGGACCGUAAGGCCUCGCGCGAUCGGAGCGGCCGAUGUCAGAUUAGGUAGUUGGUGGGGUAAAGGCUCACCAAGCCAACGAUCUGUAGCUGGUCUGAGAGGACGACCAGCCACACUGGGACUGAGACACGGCCCAGACUCCUACGGGAGGCAGCAGUGGGGAAUUUUGGACAAUGGGCGAAAGCCUGAUCCAGCAAUGCCGCGUGCAGGAAGAAGGCCUUCGGGUUGUAAACUGCUUUUGUACGGAGCGAAAAGGUUCUCUCUAAUACAGAGGGCUCAUGACGGUACCGUAAGAAUAAGCACCGGCUAACUACGUGCCAGCCGCCGCGGUAAGAC